AGGAUAAACGCUGGCGGCGUGCCUAACACAUGCAAGUCGAACGCGCUUACUAUCCGCGAGGAGGGUGAGCGAGUGGCGGACGGGUGAGGAACACGUGGGUGACCUACCUUUCAGUGAGGGAUACCGGCGAGAAAUUGCCGACAAGACCGCAUACGCUUCUCUUUUCAAGGGGAGAAGGAAAGCUUUUCGCAAGAGAGGCGCUGGGAGAUGGGCCUGCGGCCGAUUAGCUAGCUGGUGGGGUAAUGGCCUACCAGGGCGACGAUCGGUAGCUGGUCUGAGAGGACGAUCAGCCACACUGGGAUUGAGAACGGCCCAGACUCCUACGGGGGGCAGCAGUGAGGAAUUUUCGGCAAUGGGGGCAACCCUGACCGAGCAACGCCGCGUGCAGGACGACGGCCUUCGGGUUGUAAACUGCUUUUCUCUGGGACGAGCGAAGGACGGUACCAGAGGAAGAAGCCCGGCUAACUACGUGCCAGCAGCCGC
rnacentral:rRNA from 1 species